rnacentral:tRNA from 1 species
GGAACGCCUGGUCGAGUGGGGUCAGCGAGUCGCCGUUAUGGGUGGCGGUGAGGUGGACCAGGCGUUCGACCCGCGCCGUGUCGCCA